CUGUUAAAUGAAUUGGACCAGCGCUUAACUGCGCGGUCUAUAUUCUUUAAACACUUUGUUUUUUGUUUGGUUUGACUUUUUAAGUCAACCAAUUGAUAAACCCUAGGCUUCGGCCGAUGUAUUUUUAAUUAUAAUAGUCAUAAAUUUUAAAAUAAAAUUUA
rnacentral:misc_RNA from 1 species